UCCAAGGAGUAAGUGUCUUUUAAUUUCCUGGCUGCAGUCACCAUCUGCAGCAAUUUUGGAGCUCAAAAAGAUAAAGUCUGACACUGCUUCCACUGUUUCCCCAUCUAGUUCCCAUUAAGUGGCUGAUAUUGGUUUGAGACUGCUGUUUGGCUUUGGCCUGCAGGGAUUUGUUUGCCAAAGUUUAGAUGUAGUGAGAAUGUGUGUGCUGUAAGUUUUGGUCUGUUAGUUUAGGAAGGAAUAAAGGCAGUCUCAUCCUGAGAGAAAUUUAUGGACACUGGUCCAGUUUUUUGAGAGAUGACAGUCUGGUCAAGCAGAGAAAGACAUGGCCAGAAAGUAAAAAAAAAAAAAAAAUGUGUACUUCAUAAAAAGACAAGUUGAACAUUCUCAUCUUUCUAUGUUUCUAGCCCAUUUAGGCAUGACGUUGCUCACAACCAAUCAGCCUGUCUAUUCCUUUUCCAGUCCAUGUUUACAGGCAAUAAAACUGUUAGGCAGUGCUCACAACUGACCUCUACUGAUGGAUAAGGAAAUUGAAGCCCAGAGAAAUUAAAUCCUUUCCUGCUCUCUGAUCCAAGUUAUUUUCUCUUGGCUUCCUUACCUGCCUUCUCUUCCACCUCAACAUGGUUCCUUAAGCCUGGUCACCUGAUUCAUCUCUGUCCUACAUAUACUUCACACUCUGUUUUAUUCCCCAAUUCUGGAAAAAGUACAGAGAUGCAUUGGCCUCACUUUAGUUUCAUAC
rnacentral:lncRNA from 1 species